rnacentral:rRNA from 1 species
UUUCCAGAGAUGGAUUGGUGCCUUCGGGAACUGUGAGACAGGUGCUGCAUGGCUGUCGUCAGCUCGUGUUGUGAAAUGUUGGGUUAAGUCCCGCAACGAGCGCAACCCUUAUCCUUUGUUGCCAGCGGUUAGGCCGGGAACUCAAAGGAGACUGCCAGUGAUAAACUGGAGGAAGGUGGGGAUGACGUCAAGUCAUCAUGGCCCUUACGACCAGGGCUACACACGUGCUACAAUGGCGCAUACAAAGAGAAGCGACCUCGCGAGAGCAAGCGGACCUCAUAAAGUGCGUCGUAGUCCGGAUUGGAGUCUGCAACUCGACUCCAUGAAGUCGGAAUCGCUAGUAAUCGUGGAUCAGAAUGCCACGGUGAAUAAGUUCCCGGGCCUUGUACACACCGCCCGUCACACCAUGGGAGUGGGUUGCAAAAGAAGUAGGUAGCUUAACCUUCGGGAGGGCGCUUACCACUUUGUGAUUCAUGACUGGGGUGAAGUCGUAACAAGGUAACCGUAGGGGAACCUGCGGUUGGAUCACCUCCUUACCUUAAAGAAGC